CCUCCCCCCCUACUGCGCGGAGAAGCCGGGUUGUCCCGCCUUGGUGACGUGGGUCAGACAGCUAACCUGAUCUGCUUGCUCCUUUCUGUUUGCCCAUACGAUUAAAAACCCUUCUGGGAAAAUAAGGAAGUGGGAGGAAAAGUAUUUCACUCGGAGCUUCAAGGGGCUGAUGCAUUUGGCAGGUUGCCCAUUUUCAUAUACCUUUUUCUUUAAAAAAAGAGAAAAGAAGAGGUCUCUGUUCUCUUAUAAGAAUUUUUGUUUUAUAAGCCAACAAUAAUUUUAACCAAAUUUUAAAAAUUAAGCCAGUAAGAAAGAAUCUGCAGUGUUUAUGUGACUUCUCCAAUUUACCAAGAGACUUUCAAUGCAGAAACACACAACUUUCACUGCAGGGGAGCGGGGGUCGCAGGGGUUAGUUAAUCAAGGUUAAUCGUUUUUUUAGUAUGUCCAGAUACCGGUAAUCAAAUACGAGACAAGACACAACCUGAAGCCUAAAUGACAGUGAACAUUAAUAUCAUCGUAUCUCCCAUCCACUUUCAUCGCCUCCUCCGUGCACGGAUAUUUAGGCAGUGGUUACCACAGUCCCAGAAGCCCAUGGUGGAGCACCCGCAGGCCGGAAGCAGGGGUGCUGGCCUUUCCUCAUGGGCCCCUUCUAACCUGGGCAGCCUGUGUCCAUCUGGUGCCCAGGCUCUCCUGACACUGCCCUCUGGGCAGCUGCACACCUUCCUGGUGUUAACAUAAACAUUCAAACCUGUGAAUAAUUUCUGGGAGCUUAUUUGAGCCAAACUGUUGACAAUUGCUGGAAAACAGAAUCUCAAGGAAUUAAGAUAAUGCUCUGGAGAAUGGUGAUUUUUCACCUUGUUUUAUACAUUACAAUCAAAAGAGGAGACGUUAGUGGGUUACAUGAACGCCAUUGGUGAUAGAUUAGGGAGAUGGGAGAAAGCAAAGCAGGGAAACCUCUGGGAUUGGAUAAAAAGUGAAAUGAUAGACACAUGCUUCUUUUACUUAGGUGGGUGUAGGGUAGUUAACGGUUAACAAUGACCUCAGUGACAGUGAGGGGUUUGUGGCCUCCUCAGAGUGGUGCUGUGCUUCGAGGGGUCUGAAAAAGAGGAAAAAUUACUUUGACAUUCCAACGACAUGUUAUCAUAGAUGCAAAAAGACAGUAGGCUCAGUUAAGGUAAAGACUGGCCUUUGUCAGGGGAGAGACCGGCCUAGGACAUGACUACCCACCAUAAUUGCUUUUAGUUAGAGUUUUAAUUUCAGACCAUCCUUCGUGGUUACUUUAGUCUCUGAGUUUGCAAGGCCGCCACGAAGGCUUUCCUGAGCUAGUCAGGUUAGCAUGUGGCCCCUCGCGUCCACACCAGCCAGCAGAGCCCUGGGCCACCGAGUGGGGCUUCUGAGACUGCACUGUGUUCGGCCUCCGCGAAUCUCUCCUGCGCAUGCUAUGGGCCUGGUCUGGGACGUCGACUGCUGCAGGGGCGUCUGUGGAUCAGCCCCAGGUGAUGGCAGUUAUUGCUGCUACAGGGGACAGAAGAGUCAAUAGGAGGGAUUUUUUUUCUUUGUAUUUCCUUACUCCUUACAUUAAAAAGAAUUCUAAGUGGAGGAAAGAUCCUAUGUAAUAAAAGCCUAAUAUGCUUAGUG